rnacentral:rRNA from 1 species
AUACGGAGGAUGCAAGCGUUAUCCGGAUUUAUUGGGUUUAAAGGGUGCGUAGGCUGACGUGUAAGUCAGAGGUGAAAUCUCCGGGCUCAACCUGGGAACUGCCUUUGAUACUGCAUGUCUGGAGUACGGAUGCCGUUGGAGGAAUGAGUGGUGUAGCGGUGAAAUGCUUAGAUAUCACUCAGAACACCGAUUGCGAAGGCAUCUGACGAAUCCGUCACUGACGCUGAGGCACGAAAGCGUGGGGAUAGAACAGGAUUAGAUACCCUGGUAUUCCACGCCGUAAACGAUGAUGACUAACCGUCGGCGAUAGACAGCCGGUGGCCAAGCGAAAGCGAUAAGUCAUCCACCUGGGGAGUACGUCGGCAACGAUGAAACUCAAAUGAAUUGACGGGG